rnacentral:misc_RNA from 1 species
GGUCGGACCCUAACCGGGACCCCGGCCCCCUCACCUGGCCACCCUUGUCUAUUUUACCUGUUGCUUCGGCGGGCCUGCAGCGAUGCUGCCGGGGGAGUUCUCUCCCCGGGCCCGUGCCCGCCGAGGACACCGUAGAACUUCUGGUUAAAGAUUGAUGUCUGAGACUAUAACUAUAAUCAGUUAAAACUUUCAACAACGGAUCUCUUGGUUCCGACAUCGAUGAAGAACGCAGCGAAAUGCGAUAAGUAAUGUGAAUUGCAGAAUUCCGUGAAUCAUCGAAUCUUUGAACGCACAUUGCGCCCCCUGGUAUUCCGGGGGGCAUGCCUGUCCGAGCGUCAUUGCAACCCUCAAGCCCGGCUUGUGUGUUGGGCUCUCGUCCCCCCGUGGACGUGCCCGAAAUGCAGCGGCGGCGUCGUGUUCCGGUGCCCGAGCGUAUGGGGCUUUGUCACCCGCUCUAGAGGCCCGGCCGGCUCCGGCCCCAUCUAAACCCCCGGGGUGGAGGGUCUCCGGACCCCCCUCCCCAACCAGGUUGA